AUUGAUGAGUAGUUGUCCAUUAUUAACCAACAAAUCCUUGGUAAGCUUGUGUGCCAUAGGUGACAACGUUCCUUGGAGAACGUUAAAAUAGAUCAAGAAGACAUUUAUGACGGACACAGGUUUCAUCAUGUGUAGAAAUGGAAGAGAAGUGGUGGUAGUAUGAGGGUUACUGGUUUUGGUUGGCAGUGGCGCAAUGGCAGAGGUUGCCAGAAUUUGACCAGAAAACGCAAGAAAUUACAGUUCAUUUUCUGUUUGGUUGGUCAGAAAAAGCUAGAAAAGAAAACAGAAAAAGUCGAAGGCUUUGACUUCGUUGCUGGAUAUUACGUUCUUGCAAACGUGAUUUUCACCAAAUGGAAGCUUGGACUGUGGUCUUGCUUAUAAAUAUUGCCUUGUUUUAUGUUGGAGAGAAAAGUUGGGAAGACUUGGGAUUGCUUGUGGAAUCCCAUAUCUCAACCAGGACUCCAGGUUACAAUCAUCCAUUGGGGUUUGUCUUCCUUUGGUUUCAAUAGAAACUUCCUGGCCUUGUUAACUCCUUAACUGUAAAACUUCUUCUGACAAUUGAUUUCAUAUUUGCUGAAGCUAUAUAUGGAAAAAACCCACGAAGGCAAAGAGCAUUGGAAUCAUACAUUUGCCAUGAUGUCUUGGAACAAGAAGAUGCAAUGGACAGACCAGUGAAAUCGCUCAUCCUUGUCCAAAACAACCUGCUUGCUUUCAUUUCCACAGCUUACCGAAAUUUCUAUCUAGCUUUGGAUUGUAGAAGCAGCCCUGUUGUUCUGAUUAUUGAAACACUGAAUUUCCAUCACAAAU
rnacentral:misc_RNA from 1 species